rnacentral:rRNA from 1 species
GAUGAACGCUGGCGGCGUGCUUAACACAUGCAAGUCGAACGAUGAAGCCCAGCUUGCUGGGUGGAUUAGUGGCGAACGGGUGAGUAACACGUGAGUAACCUGCCCUUAACUCUGGGAUAAGCCUGGGAAACUGGGUCUAAUACCGGAUAGGAGCGUCCACCGCAUGGUGGGUGUUGGAAAGAUUUAUCGGUUUUGGAUGGACUCGCGGCCUAUCAGCUUGUUGGUGAGGUAAUGGCUCACCAAGGCGACGACGGGUAGCCGGCCUGAGAGGGUGACCGGCCACACUGGGACUGAGACACGGCCCAGACUCCUACGGGAGGCAGCAGUGGGGAAUAUUGCACAAUGGGCGAAAGCCUGAUGCAGCGACGCCGCGUGAGGGAUGACGGCCUUCGGGUUGUAAACCUCUUUCAGUAGGGAAGAAGCGAAAGUGACGGUACCUGCAGAAGAAGCGCCGGCUAACUACGUG